rnacentral:tRNA from 1 species
GCGGUUGUAGCUCAGUUGGCCAGAGCGCUGGCUUGCCAAGUCAGUUGUCGCGGGUUCGAAUCCCGCCAGCCGCU